rnacentral:rRNA from 1 species
GACAGAGGGUGCGAACGUUGUUCGGAAUUACUGGGCGUAAAGCGCGUGUAGGCGGCGGCGCAAGUCGGGUGUGAAAGCCCUUGGCUCAACCAAGGAAGUGCAUCCGAAACUGCGCGGCUUGAGUCCUGGAGAGGAUGGUGGAAUUCUCGGUGUAGAGGUGAAAUUCGUAGAUAUCGAGAGGAACACCAGUGGCGAAGGCGGCCAUCUGGACAGUGACUGACGCUGAGACGCGAAAGCAUGGGGAG